rnacentral:rRNA from 1 species
UACGUAGGUGGCAAGCGUUAUCCGGAAUUAUUGGGCGUAAAGCGCGCGCAGGCGGUUUCUUAAGUCUGAUGUGAAAGCCCACGGCUCAACCGUGGAGGGUCAUUGGAAACUGGGGAACUUGAGUGCAGAAGAGAAAAGCGGAAUUCCACGUGUAGCGGUGAAAUGCGUAGAGAUGUGGAGGAACACCAGUGGCGAAGGCGGCUUUUGGCCUGUAACUGACGCUGAGGCGCGAAAGCGUGGGGAGCAAACAGG